AUUAGAACAAUGAAAUUUAUUUUCUUUUUGUUAAUCCUACUCCAUAUAAUUGCGGCUGUAUGGCCUCAUCAGAAAGGACAUUCGCAUCCUGUAAAAUGGCAUAAAAAAGAAUUGGAACCAGUUAUUUGCAAAACCGACGAUGACUGUGAGGACGAGUGCCGCUAUCGUUGUUGGCUCUACGUGAGUCCUCUGUGCUUCAAAGCUACGUGCUUCUGCAAAGUAUAUCCAACACAUGUUAUCUAAUAUCAUAUACUUAUCCAUACCUCCAAUUGUGCACGAAAACUUGCACCAUUGCACUAACGAAGGGAAGAGGGAAGGUGCGAGCUCUAUAUCAAAUAGCGGAAUUAGUCCCUAAUACCUUAAUUGUAAAACACAUUGUAAACUCUUCUUUGAUUUAAUAAAAGAAAGAUAAAAAAAUACA